CACAUGUUCUGUAGGGUGAAAAUAAUACUCCGUGAAAGUAGAUUCACAAGACCAAUCUGCUGUUCGCAGAAGGUCUUCAAGUUUACCUCUAGUAGAAUGUGCGCCAUAUACGGAGGUAUCUAUGUGCGCCGAAGCUAUUGUCCAUUUCACCCAGCGGGCUAGUGUCACCAUAGAUACGGGGUAAUGAGGUAGUUUAGUAACAGCACGUGAUGUGCUGGGUUUCGAAACACCUGAGUUUGUUUUUUGUAUACCCGGAGACAAGUCACUGGGCAGAGGUUCACGUUGUAAGGAAACGAUGAG